UGUCAUUGCUUCCCAGGGAGGCUGGGGGUUCCCCCAGGGCCCUGCACUGUCUGCGGCCGAUGUCACAUCUCGCUGCGCGGCUACCACGUCCUGCCCAUCGUUGCCUUCACACCUCAUCUCCUCGGUGUCACAGGGCCGUGCGCAGCUCUUCAGCUCCCAGGAAGGGAAUAGCCUGUAGGAAUCGCUUACUGUUUUUUUGUUUUGUUUUGUUUUUUGUUUUUGUAUUGACUGACGCCCACCUUCUUCUGGAAAGCACUUAAGGUGACUCAGAAGGUAUGCUGAGGUCUCUGUGUUCCUGCCCCACGCUGUACCUUUGCCUGUGGCCUCUGGAAAAUAAGGCCCGAAGCAACACUGACCUUCCUCACACCCUCCCUGAACGGAUUCACUAGGCGUGAGGAUGUUGGACCCGAGAGGCAACACCUCCCCACUCAGGAGGGGUGCUGGCAGCCCCGGAGCCAAGUCUGCUGGACCCCCAAGGGAGAGUCACGAGAGGCGCUGGUGCCUGGGCUGGUGGUGGGGUGCCAGGACACUCUGAAAGCAGUAGGCAACUUCUCACCGGCUUUCAGGAUUGGCUUAAUGCUUCUCUGGUCCCCGUCUUCAGAGCUGCUCGGAGCUCACCCCCCAGGAGCCUGCCAGGAGCGAGAGGAACUGAACUUCAGCGAGGCGGAAGGCGAUCCCCACUCUGCCCAGGUGCUGCUUCCCCCGGGGCUCGGGGCUUGGCAGGCGCAGCACCCCAGUCUGCGCAGCCGAGGUGAGCCUGUGAGGCAGGAAGGCCCCCUCGUCCACUGCCAGGCCCGGGUCGCCCCCAGGCAACGUAGCUCCUGCUGCCUGCUCAAGCUCUUCUGCCUCUCAGGCCAGCGAAACUUCCCUGCAGAGAUCACCGCGUGGUAG
rnacentral:lncRNA from 12 species